UCCUUAUCUGGUGUCUGUGCCCCUUUAGUCCUACAGAUGGAAGCCCAGAAUGACAUUGACUUAUGAAUUUCCCUGUAGAUUCUAGCACGGGUUUAGAGGCGGAGGAGGAGGAGAAGAAAAGGCCUAUGAAAUUAAUACUGUUAUCAAUUGCUUCUGGUGUUCUCAUCUCAGCUUUUAUCAAUGGAGGUGUAUUUUUAAUGGCAAGACUAAAGAAGCGAGGUAACAAUUCAACUUCUGUAGUGGACUGCUCUAAAUAAUAUGAUAUAGUCUAUUAUUAAUCAAAGCAUAACUUCGAGCGAAUACUGAAGCAUUAGUUAACUUUCCCUUUCGCUUCAUAGAAGUGAAAAUGAAUAAUGAGGAUCUAGAAUUACCUGUGAUCAAAAUGGCUACUAUUAUGCAAGCAACAAAUAAUUUCUCCACCGAAAACAUGAUUGGAGUUGGAGGAUUCGGUCCUGUUUACAAGGUAAUGUACUAAAUGAAAAAGCUGAAGUCGAACAACAAAAAUAUACUUGCCUUACUUGUAAACUAACAUGCAUAAGCAGGGGAACAUGCCAUCUGGAGAAGAAAUCGCAGUCAAAAGAUUAUCCAGAUGCUCACAUCAGGGUCUCGAAGAGUUCAGAAACGAAGUUAUGGUGAUUGCAAACCUUCAACAUAGAAACCUCGUUAGACUUUUGGGAUGUUGCAUUGAAGAAGAGGAAAGGAUGUUAAUCUAUGAAUACCUGCAGAAUAAAAGUCUUGAUCUUUCUCUUGUUGGUAUACUCAGAUUUAUCCUUCAUCUUUUUCUCGUGCUUGUGAAAUCCCAUACUUUCAUCACUAACAUCCACAUGGUGUUCAAUCACUUGCAGAUCAAUAUCGGAGAACAC
rnacentral:lncRNA from 1 species